AAGGCUUUAAUAUAAAAAGAAAAACAGCUGACAGAAAAUUGGCAAGCAACUUUGUUUGAUAUCAUCCAGUAUGACACAAAUAUUUAUGAAUCAGAAUCAUGUUUUAUUAAAUUAGUUCAACAUGUUAGCACCGUCAUUAGUCCAGGUCAUGAUUGUUUCAUACAAUAUCUGUCAAGUUUUCGGGUUAAAAAAACUGCUUAUAUUUUAACUGAAAUAAAACACAAUGGGUGUCCAGUUUGUUUACUUGUUACUUCAUAUUAAGUCAUGUUCUAGAUUCAAACUGUAACCAUGUAGUUUCCCGUAGUUUCUAGAAACUAUGGGAAACUUGUCUGCAUAUUUUUGUAAAAACUUUAAAAACUAUAAGGACAUUUGAGGUCAGUGAAUACAACUUUUUAUUAUGACAGAAGAAACUAAUGCUCAGGCCAUAGUAAGGAUCACCACUGUGAAACCCAUAUAAUCUACAAAGUGGACUAAAGAACUCAUGUUAAGUACAAAAAUGCAACAAUAAAUUUUAUAAAGUAAGAUAAUGAAACGUUAGGCUGCGUUAAACAAACAUAAUAAACUGUUAAAAAAACAUUCAUGGUAUUGUUAGCUGCAAUAAUGCAAAUCAGAUAUGGUGUGAAAUAUAACUACAGAUAAUUAAAGACAUUCAGAAUGUAAACAUCAUCAACGUUCAGUUAGUUGUUAAUUGAGAAACACACAUUUAGAUUUGUAGCGUCUGUAGACCGAAAGAGGAAAAAAUAAGCUCAUGUAUGACACUGAUAGUUUUUACUAAACAGAAAUUAGACAAAGAAUAAACACUGUUUUGCUAAAAUAAUUAGAGGUAAAGACAAAUUAAUCUUCAAGUAAUGUAAAGGUCAGUUGAAAUGACAAAUCAGAUUUUAUUAUGUAAUUGAAGCAGCUUUUAAAGAGAGACAGUUUGGAAAAGUCUGGAAAACAGUGGAAUGUCCUUUUGAUAUAUUCCAAGGACAUAAGCCUAAUAAUGAUUAUAAAGUGAUGUGAUUUUAUGUUAAUCUGUAUCAGAUAGUAAAAGCUGCUGCCUCCACUUGCCACAACACCUCUUGGUUUUUCCACUCAUGAAUAGAAUUUAAAAAAAGUUCUUGAUCCAAGUAGCAAAAAGGUUCUAAGUUCAAGUUAAAUUUUACUUUUGGUUUUUAAGCUUGAUCUGAAAUGCAGAA